UGAGGAAUAUUGGUCAAUGGGCGAGAGCCUGAACCAGCCAAGUAGCGUGCAGGAUGACGGCUCUAUGGGUUGUAAACUGCUUUUAUGUGGGGAUAAAGUGCGUGACGUGUCAUGCAUUGCAGGUACCACAUGAAUAAGGACCGGCUAAUUCCGUGCCAGCAGCCGCGGUAAUACGGAAGGUCCGGGCGUUAUCCGGAUUUAUUGGGUUUAAAGGGAGCGUAGGCUGUCUAUUAAGCGUGUUGUGAAAAUUCCCGGCUCAACCGGUGGCUUGCAGCGCGAACUGGUCGACUUGAGUAUGCAGGAAGUAGGCGGAAUUCAUGGUGUAGCGGUGAAAUGCUUAGAUAUCAUGACGAACUCCGAUUGCGCAGGCAGCUUACUGUAGCAUAACUGACGCUGAUGCUCGAAAGUGCGGGUAUCAAACAGG
rnacentral:rRNA from 1 species